GAUGAAGAACGUAGCGAAAUGCGAUAAGUAAUGUGAAUUGCAGAAUUCAGUGAAUCAUCGAAUCUUUGAACGCACAUUGCGCCCGCCAGUAUUCUGGCGGGCAUGCCUGUUCGAGCGUCAUUACAACCCUCAGGCCCCCGGGCCUGGCGUUGGGGAUCGGCGGAGCCCCCCGUAGGCACACGCCGUCCCCCAAAUGCAGUGGCGGUCCCGCCGCAGCUUCCAUCGCGUAGUAGCUAACACCUCGCGACUGGAGAGCGGCGCGGCCACGCCGUAAAACACCCAACUCUUCUGAAGUUGACCUCGAAUCAGGUAGGAAUACCCGCUGAACUUAAGCAUAUCAAUAAGCGGAGGA
rnacentral:misc_RNA from 1 species